rnacentral:lncRNA from 1 species
UGCCUGCAGUCAGAAACAUCACCACUUCACUAAAGUGCUAAGAUUUACAGAACCAAACAGCAGAAGCGACAAGAAAGGCUUGAUCUUUGUUGUAGUUAAGUAAAAGCAUGUAAACUAAGUGAAGUUGAGUUAAGAGGGAAAGAGGAAGAAGACCUUGAUGGCGGUGGCGACGGCUUCACCGACCAAGCCGGGGCUGGACUGCCAGGUCCCUAAGCCCAAAGACGGCAUCUUGGCUCCGGUGUUCAACUCAAAGAAGCGAAUGUCGUUCGCCAUUUUCAAGUUUCAGAGAGCUGGAAGGAGAAGGAAGUCUGAGAGAGUGAUCAAGUUGGAGUUGAAUUUAGAGAGGAGAGUAAAACGUGGUCAGGGGAAAUGUUCUAGGACAGUGUAGGCGCGAUUAUUGAAGACAAAGUGACAGUUCUGAGUGGCUAACAGGGUGACACCUGUAGCCUAACAGUUGCUUUUUCACCGAAAUUGGAAAAAAGGAACCCGGAUCCUCGUUCUCAUAUUUCCUCGUGAGAGGAUCUCAGCCUUUUAUUUUGAACCAAUGGCUGAGAUUUUCCUAGUUAAUUUUAACCCCUUAUUACCCAACUUACUCGCUUACUCUUCCUCUUCUCCUCAAAAUAUCGGGUUGCUCUCUCUCUCUCUCUGCCGUCGUCGCCCCACAACACUCUCUAAGCUCCCACUAAUCAAACUGUCAUAAAUACUAGACCAUUUCGGAUAAUUAAGCUUAAGAACAACACUAGGCUCGAAGUUACAUGCAUUAUACAUGGACCUACUCUUCCCCAUCAUACACAGCUUCUUAUCCAAUUCCGAAUAAUACCCAUCAAGCCUGAAUCUCACCACACCCCGCGUGACCGGAAUCCUCGAUCCCCGAAAGUUCACCAGCGUCGCCGGCAGAGGGAGGCUCGCGAGCGACGACGGAAGAGAGAGGGAGAUCACGAGCGACGACGGCGGAGGGAGGCCGAGCUCGCGACGGCGGAUUCGAGAGAGAGGGCGGGUGCGGGGCGACGACGGCAGAGAGAGAGAGAGCAGCCCGAUAUUUUGAGGAGAAGAGGGAGAGUAAGCGAGUAAGUUGGGUAAUAUGGGGUUAAAAUUAACUAGGAAGAUCUCAGCCAUUGAUUCAAAAUAAAAGGCUGAGAUCCUCUCAUGAGGAAAUAUGAGGACCAACUCAUGAGGAGAGGAUCCGGGUUCAGAAAAAAGAGGGAGAAGGAGGAGGAAUCAAAUUUGCCUUUUUGUUCUUGCCAUGACUAUCCAAUCAAAACCUGCCAAAAAAAGAGAGUUGACCAUAGUUAUAUUAUCACCCAUGGCAAUUUUUGAUUAGAUGGUCACAGUAUGAUUAAAAAUUUGCUAGUUGACAAAUUUAAUUUCGAAGAAAGAAGAAUAUAUUUUGUUGUCGGAAUCAAAGUUUAAAUGGAUAUUUCAAUCAUGGACUUAUCCUAUUAGAUUUAAGUCAUUUAACUGAUGUCUGAUGCUGUGGUAAAAUAUGGUGGAACUAUAAAAUCAUAAUUAAAAAAUUGAUCAAACUGCUUAGUAUGGAGCUUUGUCAAGAGUUCGAAAUUUUGAAUCCCAACUAAUGAGAGUUUGUGAUCAGCAGGUAUUAAGAGACUCCGGAUUCAUGCGCUUGCGGUAGGAGAUAUGUUUUGACUUUGCUGGAAUACUCAUGUGGAUCUCAGUCCGAUUGUUGACUGAGUUGGUGUGUUACUAACUUGCUAAUGUAUACCUUACUCCUAAUAAAAAGAAAUAUGCUUAGAUGUUAAUAAAAAAGAAUAGCUUUUAUUUGUACGAUAGUCUGACACAUUCCUUUUAUAAAUAGGUUUGGUUUAAAUCUGUGACUUCCAGCUACUCGGCAUCUACGCUCCGAUUUACAGUGGUCAGUUCCCAUAACUAUGCAAAGUGUAGAUAUGAGAAAAAGGUCCAGAUUAAGGGGAUUGAACAAGCAAUUCUUCCACAAUCACAAUACCAACGGGUUAAUAUUCAAGAUAUACUACUGAUGCCGAUUUCAGAGGUUACAGAUAAGUAGUUUUAUGAAUUAGGUAUCAACCAUUAACACCAGUCGUAUCUGUAUAAUGUACUCGAGCAUGCACUUGAGAGUCAAGAGUUUUGGAGGCAAAUUGUUUCUGAGAAAAGGUGGUUAGUUCCCAUAACUAUGCAAAGUGUAGAUAUGACAAAAGGUCCAGAUUAAGGAGAUUGAACGAGCAAUUCUUCCACAAUGAUGUAUAAUUGAAUAACACUUCAUCUGCAUCAUGAUGUAGAUCCCACUGUUAUAUUUGUUGUAUGUGGUUGGGUUACCUUCUGCAAAUGAGAGGCGAAAGGAGGGAAAAUUGUAAUAAACAUUGGAGGACUUUGACAUUGCACUUGCAAACACCGUCUGUAGCAGAAGCAUCUAAAUCCAACAAAAUAUAUAAAAAGUUAGCACAUAACGCAACCGAAAUCCGACAAUUACUAACAAAGGCCUUACGGUGGCUCUUGCUAUCUCAAUUCGUCUAUUCAAUGAUGUCAAUUCCGGCACAAAAUCCCACAACUUGGCAAUUUUCUCCUUUAGUUUCAUAACCAACAAAAAUAUAUGGUUUGUGAUUUCAUCAUGCAACGGGAUGAAAAUCUGCAAAAGCACAAGAAAUUAUACACAUGACAAGCAACGUAAUAUCAAUGUGAUGAAUUAACCCUUAAUUACCUAAACACAAUGCUUUAAUCGCCUAUGGAACCUCUGCAACCGACAAUGAACAAUUGUUGAUGCCACUGAAACAGGGACAACAGAUGGAUUCUCAUUUAACUUGGCUUGUUCCUAUUCAUGAAGACAGUAACAUAGCAUUCAUUAUUAUCAUUGUUUGUAUUUAGGUACAAUAGCAGAGUUAUUAUUCCUAAUGUGAUUUCUUUAUACCCCAAAGAAAGUAGGCAAGAACCAUGAGUCGGAGUUGGUUUGACACAAGUACGCCGCCCAAAUGUUUAUGGCCUGAAUCAUUUUCAGUCAUCUCACAUAGUUAAGAUUACGACCAUAUAAUGUAUGUGCAAUACUAGCUUAGAAGAAAUUGGCACGGAUAAUUCAUUACCUUUGAAGAAAUUGAGACGCUCGGGCAAAGACAUUGGAUAUCCUCAAGGGACACCCCAAAAUCCCCACCGCGGGCAACUUCUUCCCUGUAUUAAUCAAAUGCACUGGUCAAAAACAAUAAUGCUCUUCUGCGGUCACAAUAUCAACCAAAACUCAAAUAAAUUAUUGAAAACAGAAGCACAGAAGCUUCAUAUAGCAUUGAAUGACCAACUGAAAAUCCUUAAUUCAGGUCACAAAACUUAUAAUGUCUUUACUGACCUGGACUCAUGUCCUCCUUUCCUUGGCUUCCCAAAUAAGAACUUUAAGACCUUAGAAUCCUUCCAAAUAAGAACUAAGCAUCAGUCUAAAUACAUAGACGUAGUAGCAUCAAAAAGUCUUCUAACCCAGUAAAACCCAGACUCUCGAAUUGAAAAAAAAUCUUCCAGUUCAACUCCCACAAACCAAUUCAACCCAACAUUCAAAUAAUAGUAAUUAUCAGGGAGAGAAGAAUAACUUAAUCUUACAACUGAAGAGAGAGAGAGAGAGAGAGAGAGAGAGAGAGAGAGAGAGAGAGAGAGAGAGUAGACGAGACNNNNNNNNNNNNNNNNNNNNAAAAUCUGAAAAUUUGAAUGUCAAGUUAACUCUAAAAAUCUAGAUUACACAGAGUGAAACUGAAAGAGUACUCCCCACGAAAACAAGUAUAAUAUUUACCUUUCUUACCUCUCUCUCUUUUUGUGGAGGAAUCUCUGAGUGGGUUUUGCAGAAACAAGGCAGUGCUCCCGCUCAACCUGACCCUUGCAAUUGAAAAUAGGGGAACGAAUGGUGGGUUCGUUCUCUUGAAGCUUGGAAUUUGAGCAAAUGACUGCAAUUCUCGAUCGGGAGUCAGGAAAGAUUCGUACCCUGAUUUGUAGUCGGUGUAGAUUUAACGGUAAUUCGGAUACCGCGUGGGUUUUUGAGGUUUGAAUCGGAGAUUUCGAAUCUCUUCGUCGGAGCCGCCGUCGUGGGAUUAGGCCGGAGAGCAAGAAAGGUUUGGAUUUUCUUUUUAGGUUUGGGUCGACUGCCUACAUCCCACAGUGAUAUAAGGUAAUUUUGUUUUUACUGCUGUUUCUUCAUCUGACUAACUAACCGAUACGCUCCGUCUUACUAAGUCUGUUAACAGACGUUAGACCCACAUUAAAGGUUCAAGUGCCCCAUGGUGCACUGAAUCCGCUCCGCAUGAAAGAUUAGAUUAGUUUUGCUACGAUACUCUCGCGGACGUCGGUUUGCAUACCAAAUAGGUGGGUGUGUUACUAAUUUACUAACCUGAUUCGAAUAACGUAAAUAAAGGUGACUUGCUAUCUCACUACCAAUCCAGAAAAAAAAAUACAUAAAAUUCGCAAUCAACCGACAACCGGUAAAUUCAGGUGGUGUAAUUUCUUUGAAAUUAAUAAUAAUAAUCCAGUAUCGUAAUGGUAAAAGUGUAAAACCAACUCCCAGCUAGGCUGGGUUCCAAAAAGAAAUGGUAAAACCAAAUCAGUAUGAAGUUCAUUUGUGAAGGUCCUAGGGGGGGGGUGGGGGGGGGGGGUGAAUAGGUCUUUAUUACUUUUUCGUCCGAUUCCGUUCACAAGGAUAGCAAACAUUUAGCUAUCCUGAUAACAUGGAGACGUAGUAAUAAAUAAAAGAACAAGUACUGGAAAGUAAAAGAAAUAACACCAGUACGUUUUUUAUUCGCAGAAACCUUGCACCAGGGAGAAAAACUGCGUGCCCCUAACUCUUGAGGGACAAACCUUUCCACUAUGUAAAACUCACUUCUUACAAGAUUAUAGUCUAGGGAUACAACGACGAUUUGCAAUCCUGCCUAGUCUACCCACUAGUCUAGAUCUAUCUCUCCUGUCUCUGAGUGACUCACCUCACUCCUCACAAGAUUAUNNNNNNNNNNNNNNNNNNNNUGGGUUGGAAGAACAACACAACCCUAGACUAACUUGGAGCUCAAGCACGAUGAAAAAUGUUUUGCUAAAAGAGAUUUGAAAUUCAAAUACUGAAAAGCUGAAGCAAAACCAUUUAAAUCUGCACGAAGUCAGACUCAGAGAUUAUGAUAGAUACAACAGGGGUAUCCACCAAAUCUGGAUAGCAAGCAGAGCUGCCAUCCUGAAUGAAUGUGAUGCACAUGCAUGAACUACCUGAUGUACAUGAGAUAAAAACAAAUAGCCAGCUAAUAUAUUAGUUUGUGUAUCACAAACCUAGCUAGAGCCUCUAAGCUCUAGUCAUGUGGUCACGGGUUGAAAACACUACACAACCCUAGACUGACUUGAAGCACCAAGGCAACGACAAAUGUUUUGCUAAAGGGGAUUUGAAUUCAAACAGUGGAAUUCAAACGAAUGAUACACAAAUAGCAAAAGCAUUUAGACAUGCAUACAUAUAGACCCAAUAGAUUAGGACAGAUACACCAAGAGGUAUCAUCCGAUCUAGGAUGACAAGCAAAGCUGCCAUUCUCAGUGAAAAACAUAAGAUGCAUAUGCAUGAACUACCUGAUACACAUGAGAUCUUGACAGGUCUUCAUUCUUCACUUAUGAUAUCCUUACCAUCAGGAUAUGUAGAAUUCUCAGUGAAAAGCAUCAGAUGCAUAUACACCAGUUACCUAGGACACAUGUGAUCUUGUCAAGUCUUCAUUCUUCACUUGUGAUAUCCUUACCAUCAGGAUAUAUAAAAUAGCUUGUGUCUUGUGUUUUGAUCAUAAAAGGGAUAGCCAACAAUCCUUAUACCAACAAUUUGUCUAAUGCCGAUACGAAUAAUGUUGUUCUAUGAAUCUGCAAGGUGAGAAUCUUAUUUCAAGUUUCUUUCAAACCAAACAUGGAAAGAAACUUUAGUUCAGGGUGAACCGAAAAGGUUUCGCCCUAGAAGGCUCAAAAAGUAUGAGCGUUGCUUUGCAUUAUGUAUUCGGUUAGGCCAACAAGCCGACCAAAACGCUUCGUAAUAGUCGUUUUAGCCAAGUCGCCAUCAAGACGAGCAAAGCACUGACUUAAUCUAGAUUUCACCAUCCCAGAGUUCCUCAACAGUUCUAUAGGACCCAAAAGUGUCAUGUACAAAAAAGUCACCUUUGACUAGCCUUUCCUGCAAAUUUGGAAAACAAUGUAGUAUCAGUGACCAUCAUCACCAUCUUGAUCAAAUUACAGAACCUAAUAGGACUCCAGAAGCAACCAUGUCAUAUUAAUGAUGGGCUAUGUUUAAUAGUUAUGCCAUAACUGACNNNNNNNNNNNNNNNNNNNNUAGGCUACUUAUCUAUCAUUUUGACCUCAUCCUUUACAACUGAGACAGUCAGACUGAAGGGUAAUAUGAACAUCGUAUUUGUGGUUUAAAGAUGGCACAAACUAUUUUAAGAAAUGUAGUUUGAACACUAAAAGUAGGCAUAUUGCACAUUUCUACAAAGAAUCCCAACUGAUAAAUCACGUAUAUACUCCAGAACAAAAAUCCAAGAGACAUAACAUGCGAACGAGAUUUGAACAUGCAAUGCAUACCAGGUACAAGUCCAAAUAAUCAAGCUGCAAGUCUCCCAGGGUCUUAUCCAUAUCUUUUGGAAAAUGCAGAUUAAACCCUGAACUAAGCAUGACUUAUCUAUAUUAAAGCCCUGUGAGUGAUCUGAUCAACCAUGUGCAGACCGUCCUGAACCAAAUUCAAAAGCACCUAACAUGGGAAUAAGUUUUGAAUUUUUAAUACAUACCAAGUACAAGUCAAUAUAUUCAAGCUGCAGGUCUCUCAAAGUCCUAUCCAAUGCCUCUAGUACAUCUUCCGGUGCAUGAUCCGUACACCUGCAGACCAUCUUGCUCUUAAGUAUAUAUAUACAAUUACAAACCAGGAGGGCUUAGCAUUUAGAUCAUGAAUAAUAACUACCACUUGGUCAAUAUUUCAAUUAAUUAUCAUGAAACUUAUAACGAACCAGAGCUUGGAGGUAAUCCACAAUUCCUCGCGCUUCACCACACCAUCUUCAAACAGCUUCCUCAAAACCAAACCAAUCUACAAGAAACACAAAAUUUUAACCACCAAACCGUCUUCAAAGAAUGAAGCAAAUCACAGGUAAUUUGAACUCCCAACUCAAAAUAAAAACACAAAUCAUAGAAACCGGUAUCGGAAUAAGGCAGUCAAUUAGCUUAGAACAUGCUACACAUAUGAGCCGACUGAAGCAAUUUCAGAAAUACAUGAAGAAGAAAAAACAGUGACAAUAACAGAUCAAAUGAUAGUAAAUGUUUAGAUCUGAACAAAAGCAACUAGAGUUACCUCUUUCUCAUUGCCAUAGGCUUGAGCACAAUCAAUAUGCCUAUAUCCUGCCUGCAGUUAGAAACAUCACAACUUCACUAAGAAAGGCUUGAUCUUUGUUGUAGUUAAGUAAAAGCAUGUAAACUAAGUGAAGUUGAGUUCAGAGGGAAAGAGGAAGAAGACCUUGAUGGCGGUGGCGACGGCUUCACCGACCAAGCCGGGGCUGGACUGCCAGGUCCCUAAGCCCAAAGACGGCAUCUUGGCUCCGGUGUUCAACUCAAAGAAGCGAAUGUCGUUCGCCAUUUUCAAGUUUCAGAGAGCUGGAAGGAGAAGGAAGUCUGAGAGAGUGAUCAAGUUGGAGUUGAAUUUAGAGAGGAGAGCAAAACGGUAUACGCAAAUUGGAUAGAGAGGAGAGUUGAAUUUAGAUGGAAUCAAAUUUGCCGGGUGGCAAAUUUGAUAACCACCAAUGACCAUUGGCAAAUUUGAUUCCCGUUUGGCCAACAGGGUGACACCUGUGGCCUAACAGUUACUUUUUCACCGAAAAGGAAAAAAGAGGGAGAAGGAAGAAGAAGAUAUUUGCUGCCGGAAAUCAAAGUUUAAAUGGAUAUUUCAAUCAUGGACUUAUCCUAUUGGAUUUUAGUCAUUUAACUGAUGGCUGAUGCUGGUGAAGCUACGAAAAACAUAACUAAAAAGUUGAUCAAACUGCUUAGUACGGAGUUUUGUCAAAAGUUCGAAAUUUUGAAUCCUAACUUGUGAGAGUUUGUGACCAGUAGGUGUUAGGAGCCUCCGGAUUCAUGUGCUUGCGGUAGGAGAUUUGUUUUGACUUUGCUAGAAUACUCAUGUAGAUCUCAGUAUGAUUGUUGAGUGAGUUGGUGCGUUACUAACUUGCUAAUGUAUACCUCAUUCCUAAUAAAAAGAAAUAUGCUUUAAUGUUAAUCAAAAAGAAAAGCUUAUAUUUGUACGAUAGCCUGACACAUUUCUUUUAUAAAUAGGUGUAGUUUAAAUCUGUGACUUUCAGUUACUCGGGCAUCUACGUUCCGAUUUAGUACUGAAAAAUCAGACCAUCAUUAGGUGGUCAGUUCCCAUAACUAUGCAAAGUGUAGAUAUGAGAAAAGGUCCAGAUUAAGGGGAUUGAACAAGCAAUUCUUGCACAAUCACAAUACCAACGGGUUAAUAUUCAAGAUAUACUACUGAUGCCGAUUUCAGAGGUUACAGAUAAGUAGUUUUAUGAAUUAGGUAUCAACCAUUAACACCAGUAGUCUCUGUAUAAUGUACUCGAGCAUGCACUUGAGAGUCAAGAGUUUUGGAGGCAAAUUGUUUCUGACAUCAGCUUGAGCUCACAACUUUUCAUCCCAGAGUUCUUCAAGGGUCUUAUAUGCACCGAGAGUCUCAUGUACAAAACCAGUACCUUGAACAAACUUCUCCUGCAUGAUCAUCCAAAAAGAAAGUAUACUCAAUAUUUCAAUCAGAUGCACCGAUAAAGACAACUUUAGAAGGUGCUAUCAGACCAACCUUCCACAUUUUACUCAUAUAUCAAAUGACACGCAGAUACAAAAACUAAAGAAAUUCAACAUCUGAGAAAACAAGAAGGCAAAGAAGGGUAAGAGGACAAGGCACUUGCCUGGUUAAUUUCAGAAAACUUGGCAAGCAUGUGUUCGGGUAUAGACCAAUCAAAAAGAUCAAAAUUAUCCUCAAUCCUUGUCCGGUUUGAGCUUUUAGGCACUAGACUGUGACCCAUUUGCAAGCCCCAUCGAAGAACCACUUGAGCAGGAGUCUUGCCCAAUUCUUCUGCCACCAUUUUCACAAUUGCAUGCUCAAGGACCUUCUUCUUUCCCAAUGGUGAAUAUGCCUGGAACAACAUAUACAUCUGUUUUCAGCACUACUGAGAUUUGGAACACAAAAUUGGAACUAGUAACUAGUAACUAGUGCUGUUCCGAAAGCAUUCAAUGUCAUCAUAGCACGUCUACAACAAAACAAGAUUAUUUUUCAAGAUCAAGUUACUACUAUGCAGAAGUUCAAAUAAUAACUUCAGCAUAUACUCACAGUUAAGUGAACUCCUUUAGAUUGACAGAAAGCAUGUAGCUUCAGUUGCUGCCAUUGAGGGUGCAACUCCACUUGAUUAACAGCAGGAGGUAUCCGUGCCACCUCUAACAGAUCGCCGAGCUUCUUUGAAGAGAAAUUGCUGACUCCAAUAGCCCUGGCCUUGCCUGAAUCAUAGAGUGCCUCCAUUGCUUUCCAAGUAGCAGGUAUAUUAGGUUGAGUAAGCUUUCCAUUUUUUAUGCUGACCGGCCAGUGGAUCUACCAAAAACUUAAUCAGAUAUCAACAGCGGAUAGGCAACCAAAAUACAUAUAUGCACAGAUGUGAAGCAUAAGUAUGAAGAACCAAUUUCUGGGUGACAUCUUCUAGGAACAUGUACAAAAGGGUAAAGCUCUAGAUUUGGUUCACAUACAAGAUAAAGAUCCAGAUAGUCAAGUUGCAAGUCUUGCAAAGGUUUAUUAAAUGCUUUUGGCACAUCUUCUGGUUCAUGAUCAGUACACCUGCACAUUAUUAUAAGGAUUCCUAGUUAUAAUCAUUCCAACUCAGGAAUUGGAUAGUAAAACAAUCAACAGCCAACUAAGUUGAAAACUUCAUUCCACAAUAAAUUGGAAGACUAAAGAAUAAGUGAAACAAACCAGAGUUUGGAAGUGAUCCAUAAAUCAUCGCGCUUCACCAACCCAUCAUCAAACAGCUUCUUCAAAGCAUCACCAAUCUACAUACACCACAAAAGCAGCAAUUGGCAUAUGAAUUUUUCAAGAAAUGAUUAUCCAUCAAAAAGAAAGUGUGGUGUCACCUCCUUCUCGUUGCCAUAAAUUUGGGCACAAUCAUUAUGACGAUACCCAACCUGCACAAAAUUCAGAGGCUAGAUGAGCAACUCAGAAGAAGAAAAUUUAGUGAAUGGUACUGAAGGAUGAGAAUACCUUAAUGGCAGUGGUGAAGAUGUCGAGGGUGAGAUGAGGUUCCUAAGCCGACCGAAGGUAUCUUGGCGCCUGUGUUGAGCACAAAAUACCGAAUUGGGUUCGCCAUUGUCUCUCACUCUGUGCCGUAAUUUCCAACCAAUAGUCUAAUACCAACCAACUGGUAAAAUGAGAAGAAAGGUAAGCACUUGAAUAAACCCAGAUGGGGAAUCUCUUGGAAAAAGUUAAAGGCCGGAGCUCUAUGGUAGAAACUUACAGUGGCUUAAUUGUUAAUGAGAAUGAUCACUGACCUGUAGGGUUUCAAGUGCCGUGCCAAACAGAAGCAAAGUGCCAAACAGAAGCUUUCUAUUAAACCAGAGACUAUGAGGGUUUUUUUUUUUUUUCUUGUUUUAAAUGGUGGACCAUCCUGCCCGUUUGACCCUACAGAGGCCCAGACCGCCUAGACGCAGCCUGUCUCCUCCUGGCCCACAUAAUAAUUUUUUUUUUUUUUUUUUUACCCUCGUCUUCUUCGUCCCGCUCAAAACAACAUGGUCACACCCAGAAAUCAAGAAAGCUUGCGUCCACCACCCAAUACCCAUUUCUCCGUGCCACCCACGUCACAGGGUCCUCCAAUGGCGGCAAACAAGCGUCCAAGAACAAUACGAAACAGAAUGGAUUGAAAGUGAAAUCGCAGCUGAAAGAGUGAAAAAAUUACUGUAUCUUCUUCCUUCUUCUGUGUUAUUGUUCAGGUGAUGUAUGUAAUUUUGCACCAAUAUGCAAGUUAUGCAGCAUUGUAGGGUCGGAUUAAUAUGUAUAGGGACUUCUGUAUAUGGAUUCUCAUUUUUUUUUCUGUAGAAUGCUGGUUCUCAAGUGAAGAACAAGUUUUGUGAGUUUAUACCGAAUGUUACAUUCGCCACUAGCAAAAGACUAGGGCAGUACGAAUUGUAUAAUAUCUCUAAUUUUAGGAAUUCUGAUGAAGAAUGUCGACAACAAUGGAUUGUGCUCCUCUGAAUAACAGCAUUUGGCUUUUCCUAUAUAUAACAGGAGUUUCCAAAGCGGUUCCCUUGCUCCUGUUAAGUGUCAACAAUUGACAAUGGGAUUUGAUCUUCUUCUUUUACUUGUAAGUUAGAGAGGAAGGAUUGUUCUUUUGGUUGUGGGCAAAAUGGCGUAUUGGGGUAUUUGCUAUUUGUGUAUUGGGGUCUGGUUGUAUAAUUGAUGCUGCACCACCGUUGGGACUCUGUUAAAUUUAGUUAGAGCAUCCAACCCAAAACUGAGAGGUCCCUGGUUUUAUUAGUUUAUAUACAAGAUGAAAAAGUUAUGAUGUAUGAUAUAGAAUUUUACAUUCUCAACUUUGUAGGUUGCAGAUGUUAAGGAUCAACUGGUCUGCCUGUCAGUGUUUAUUACGUGAUCUAUGGAAUAACAUGCUUUAGUAUAUUCCCAUACUGUGCUUAUACUUGUGGCAUAUAGACAAAUUCUGUGGGGUCAAACCUUAAGAUCCAGUGAGUAGAAUUCACAAAUCUUGAGCAAAAGGCAGGUUACAAGUUAUCAGACAAGGAAGAUGCAAGUAUUCAUUGGAUCUGAAUCUAUCAUAUGAGGUAACAAAAUUGUUCUGCAGAAGUGCCAAUUCACCCUUCUGCAAUGAAAAUCAAUCUACAACCAGAUAAACUAAGCAAUGAAGGCAUGAAGAAGAGCUAAAUGUUUCUAACAUCCACGAGAUGCUCACUACUCUCCAUCCCAGAGUUCCUCAAUGGUCUUGUAAAAACCAUGAGUCUUGUGGACGAAUGCAGUACCUUUAAGCAGCCUCUCCUGCAAGCAAAGAGGUAAUACUUACAUAGUCAAAUCACCAAAGACGAUCAUAAGAGUUGCAACUGAUAAAUGAUUUUUGACACUGAACAUGCUCAAUGUCACGAUUGUCACCAAUUUGAAAAGACCAAAAAUUUCAUUCAUAGAUCAUUAUUUAAGCGCAAAAGAAUAGACACAAAGGUGUUAGCAAAUCAAACUUCCUGAUAGGGGCACUUCAUAUACAAAGACAAACAAACACAACACUAGAUCAAAUAACAGUUCGAAUGAAAGAAAAGAACAGCAUGAAGGAAAGACACUUGCCUGCUCGAUAUCGGAAAACUUGGCAAACAAGUCAUCAGGUAUAGACCAAUCGAAAAUAUUGAAAUUUUCCUGAAUCCUCUUCUGAUGUGUACUCUUAGGCACUAAACUGUGACCCAUUUGUAGCCCCCACCGAAGAACUACUUGUGCAGGAGUCUUUCCCAAUUUUUCGGCCACCAUAUUCACAAUAGAAAGCUCAAGGACCUUUGUCCUUCCCAAUGGUGCAUAUCCCUGCAAUAACAUCAGCAUAAUCAUCACAAGUUGCAACCAGCACUACUCCAUGCUGAGUCUGGAAAUCACAGAACUGAAAAACUAGGCCAUUUCAUUCCGAAGCAUUCACGGAAGUCCAUGUCAUCAGAAUUACACUAGAUAUUUCUCAAUAUCGAGAUACUACAAACCAUAAGAACAAAAUAUGACUUUAUAUCAGCUUACUCACAGUUAAGUGAAUUCCCUUUGAUUUACAGAAGUUAUGCAACUCAACUUGCUGCCAUUGAGGGUGCAACUCCACUUGAUUAACCGCUGGAGGUAUUUGUGAUACCUCUAACAGAUCUCCAAGCUUCUUUGCAGAAAAAUUGCUGACUCCAAUAGCCCUGGCCUUGCCUGAAUCAUAGAGUGCCUCCAUUGCUUUCCAUGUACUCGGUAUAUUAGGUGUGGUGAAGUUUUCAGGAUCAGAACCGACUGACCCCUUUUUCAUACUGACCGGCCAAUGCAUCUACCACAGUUUUAUGACAGUCAUAACAAAUAAACAACUACUAAUCCUAACUUUAAUAGCACAUAAGCACCACAGAACUAACUAAAUAUCCUAGUGUCUCGAAUUAGUGUACAGAAUGUGACUAAAUAUCCUAGAGCAUCAAACGAUUAAUUGAACAAUGACUGCCUUGCUCACAUUUGUUGGUAUAAAUUCAAUGGUGUAAAACUUAGAAGUUGUCCACAUACAAGAUAAAGAUCCAGAUAAUCAAGUUGCAAAUCUUGCAAAGUUUUAUCAAAGGCUUUUGGUACAUCUUCUGGUUCAUGAUCAGUACACCUGCACAUAAUCACAAGCCUAAGUCCUAACCCAUAUAAUAUUCCAACUCCCAUAAAGACAGAAAUUUCAAGUUUCUGAGGGAAAACAAACCAGAGUUUGGAAGUGAUCCAUAAGUCCUCACGCUUCACUAUCCCAUCAUUAGAGAGCUUCUUCAAAGCAUCACCAAUCUACAACAAACCAGAAACUUCUCUCAAAAUUUAAACCAAACAGUAAAUCAGAAAUUACAUGUAAAAUUUACACGAAUAAUGUGUUUGAAAUUCUGGCGCCUACUUCCUUCUCAUUGCCGUACAUCUGGGCACAGUCAAUAUGGCGAUAUCCCAUCUGCCAAGGAAAAGGAACGAACCCAAAUUAAUGUCAGCAUUUCCUCAAAGCAAUUAGCAUUGAAGCUUUAGUGGUGAUGAAACAGAGGGUGAUACCUUAACUGCAGAGGUGAGGACGUCGCCGACGAGAUGAGUAUCGGAGCGAUAAGUGCCUAAGCCUACAGAAGGCAUCUUGGCGCCGGUGUUCAACUCAAAAAACCGAAUUGCGGAACCCAUUUUCUUCCCUGCGUUCUUUGGCUCCAAAGUGAACGGCCUGCUCAGAUAUGCCAAUCCUGUUUCCCUUCCAUAGAGAGACACUCGGCAUUACACUCUUUUGUUUUAUUGUUUUAUUUUCUGCUUCUUCUUUUUUCAGAAAAAUGGUAGAUGUUGUUCACUAUGGACUAUGGUCUAGUAUUUUUUUAGUAUAUUUUUUUAGAUGUUGUUCACUAUGUACUAUAAAAAUUGAUAAAUACAAGGCUGAAGUGGCUGGUCUAGUAUUUUUUUAGUAUACUAUAAAUUGACUUUAAAUUCUGGAUUUUUGGUCCAGACACAACUGUGCAAAAUCAGUUCUGGUCUUCUGGAUAAGUAAUGCAUUUGAUAUUUCAGUGAAAAUUUCUGGAUGAGUACAGAGGUGCCAGGACUUCUGGAUUCACCCAUCUGAAUUGAGACAUUGACACUCAAACGAGUGAAACUACAAGCAAAAGAGCUAAAAAAGGCAUGAAGGAUAGGCAAAUGUUUCUGUUACAUCUAGCAUGCUCACAACUCUCCAUCCCAAAGCUCCUCAAUGUUCUUGUAGAAACCGUGAGUCUCAUUGACAAAUCCAGUGCCUUUAAGCAGCCUCUCCUGCAAAGAAUAGAGAAUAUUUCAAUGAGAAAACAUCGCAAACGUAUAAAUUACCAGAGUUGAAAUACCAAGUGAUCCAGAUUCCACAAUAUAAACAACACAUAGAUUUGUGGCUCGUCACAUCUCAUUCCUAGUCUAAUCAUUAUAAGCACCAAUACCACCAAAGGUUGCAUGACUGAACAAGAAAAGUAAUGCAGACAAGAUGCAUGCCUGCUUUAGAUCAGAAAACUUUGAAAUCAAGUCCUCGGGUAUGGACCAAUCAUAAACAUCAAAAUUCUCUUUGAUCCUGGCCUCCUUUGUGCUCUUAGGCAGCACACUAUGACCUGAUUGUAGCCCCCAACGGAGAGCCACUUGUGCAGGAGUCUUGCCCAGCUUCUCUGCUACCAAUGCCAGAACUGGAUUCUUAAGAACAUCUCCCUUCAUAUGACUUGUACCUGGUGAUCCCAAAGGUGAAUAUCCCUGUAAUGAGAAAUUCAUUAAAUUAUCGUACAAGCAAUCACUAAUCCGCAGCAGGUGCAUUUGAAAAACCAAAACAAGAAAACUUUGCUAUGUAUCAGGCUAUCAGAACACUCACAGUUAAGUGGACUCCUUUAGAUUUGCACAAUUCUUUUAGCUUUGGCUGCUGCCAUUGGGGGUGCAAUUCCACUUGGUUAACAGCAGGAGGUAUGCGUGCCACGGAUAGUAGAUCUCCAAGCUUUUUAGUAGAAAAAUUGCUAACUCCUAUAGCCUUGGCCUUGCCAGAAUCGUACAGUGCUUCCAUUACUUUCCAAGUACUUGGUAGGUCAGGUUGGGAGAGGUUCUCAGGCUUAAAGCCAACUGAGCCCUUUUUCAUGCUAACUGGCCAGUGAAUCUACAAACAGUUUUCGACAAUUAGUGGCAAAUAGAUGAGGAUAAUAUUAGUCUAUGAAAAUAGUGAGACUUGCAAGGUUCCUGUUUGUGCUUAAUGGCCUGAAUUAUAUCCUUCUUUCCAGAUAAAGACAAACCCCCUAGUCACAUAAUCAAAUCUGCCUAAUAAGAAAAUGCUGUACUUUCACUCUGUUUAGAUGGUUUAACAUAUCAAGUUCAUACAUUGAUCGAUUGGACUUGUUUGACUGCACGAUCUAUAUUCACCCUCCACGAAACAUAACAUGACAGUGAUGACACUAUCUGACAAGACGAUAUAACCGAGCAGUUAACAUGUUUUACGUACCAGAUACAGAUCGAGAUAAUCGGUUUGCAAGUCCUGCAGAGUGCUAUCUAGUGCCUUUGGCACAUCUUCUGGUGCAUGUUUACUACACCUGCAAAGUUCAAGCACAUAAUUUCAAAUGUUCAAGCUUCAACCUUUCUCACUUGCACAAUUACCAAAGACUAGACCCUUCCAAUGACAUAAUAAAAUACCAGGAGUGUAUUAAGUUCAUAAGCUAACCAUAGUUUCGAAGUAAUCCACAAAUCCUCACGCUUCACAACACCAUCAUCAUAAAGCUUCUUAAGAGCACAACCAAUCUACACACAAUCCAGUAGUGAACUUUGAACAUAUAAAUCACAGAAUUAAAUCAAAAUUCAAUGAAAUAUCAAAUUCUGAAUACCUCUUUUUCGUUGCCAUAAAUUUGAGCACAAUCAAUAUGCCUAUACCCAACCUGCAUUAAACAUUUGAGUCAUUCACACACAGACAAAAAAAACACACACACACUGCAGCAUUGUUCUUCCUGAAAAUAAGGAGCGGCAUUUUUGUAAUACCUUGAUGGCGGCGGUGACGGCAUCGCCAACGACGCCGGGCUCGGCCUGCCACGUCCCCAAACCGACGGCCGGAAUCUUGGCUCCGGUGUUCAGCUCAAAGAAUCGAAUUGCUUUCGCCAUUUUUUCCAGAGUGAUCUACUAAAAAAACUGAGAGUAUAGAAACCUUUUUUUUGAGAAUGAUUAAUUCAUUAAAGGCAAAGCCCAGCAAAGAGCCCAAUAAAGCAGGCACCAGCAAAAUACAAA